UACGUAGGGGGCAAGCGUUGUCCGGAAUCAUUGGGCGUAAAGCGCGUGUAGGCGGCUCGGUAAGUCCGCUCUGAAAGUCCAGGGCUCAACCCUGGGAUGCGGGUGGAUACUGCCGGGCUCGAGUCCGGAAGAGGAGAGUGGAAUUCCUGGUGUAGCGGUGAAAUGCGCAGAUAUCAGGAAGAACACCCGUGGCGAAGGCGGCUCUCUGGGACGGUACUGACGCUGAGACGCGAAAGCGUGGGGAGCGAACAGG
rnacentral:rRNA from 1 species